CCUACGGGAGGCAGCAGUGAGGAAUAUUGGUCAAUGGACGCAAGUCUGAACCAGCCAUGCCGCGUGAAGGAUGAAGGCCUUCUGGGUUGUAAACUUCUUUUAUCUGGGAAGAAAAGCACUGUUUCUACGGUGUCCGACGGUACCAGAGGAAUAAGCACCGGCUAACUCCGUGCCAGCAGCCGCGGUAAUACGGAGGGUGCAAGCGUUAUCCGGAUUUACUGGGUUUAAAGGGUGUGUAGGCGGGUCUUUAAGUCAGUGGUGAAAUCUCCGAGCUCAACUUGGAAACUGCCAUUGAUACUAUUGAUCUUGAAUUCUGUUGAGGUUGGCGGAAUAUGUCAUGUAGCGGUGAAAUGCAUAGAUAUGACAUAGAACUCCGAUUGCGAAGGCAGCUAACUAAGCAGAUAUUGACGCUGAGGCACGAAAGCGUGGGGAUCAAACAGGAUUAGAUACCCUGGUAGUCCACGCCCUAAACGAUGAUUACUCGACAUACGCGAAUACACAGUGUGUGUCUGAGACGAAGACAUUAAGUAACUACCGACCGUACGGUAACGGUACGACCGACGUACGGUUAAGUAACGUACGAAGUAGUAAGUUAGUUACGGCGUUGAGGACGCGACCGACGGACGACGACGAGGGAGGUUAGG
rnacentral:rRNA from 1 species